GGGCCGGUAGUUCAGUCUGGUAUGAACGCCUGACUUGCACUCAGGAGGUCGGGGGUUCAAAUCCCCCCCGGUCCACCA
rnacentral:tRNA from 1 species